rnacentral:rRNA from 1 species
AACAAGGUCUCCGUUGGUGAACCAGCGGAGGGAUCAUUAUCGAGUUAUUCAACUCCCAAACCCUAUGUGAACUUACCACUUGUUGCAUCGGCGCGCGCUUCGGCGCCGCCGAGGACACUUAAACUCUUUGUUUUUAUAAGCAUUUCUGAGUGGCCGAAAGGCAAAAAUACAAAUGAAUCAAAACUUUCAACAACGGAUCUCUUGGUUCUGGCAUCGAUGAAGAACGCAGCGAAAUGCGAUAAGUAAUGUGAAUUGCAGAAUUCAGUGAAUCAUCGAAUCUUUGAACGCACAUUGCGCCCGCCAGCAUUCUGGCGGGCAUGCCUGUUCGAGCGUCAUUUCAACCCUCGAGCCCGACUCUUUUGAGGACGGCUCGGCGUUGGGGGACGGCAGACUCCCCCCGGCAUCUCGCCGGGGACGCCGCCCCCGAAAUCUAGUGGCGGCCCUCCGAGGCGACCUCUGCGUAGUAACUUGUUCUCGCACCGGAAAGCUCAGAGCGGCCACGCCGUAAAACCCCAACUUUUUUCAGGUUGACCUCGAAUCAGGUAGGACUACCCGCUGAACUUAAGCAUAUCAAUA